GCUGGAAUCGCUAGUAAUCGCGAAUCAGAAUGUCGCGGUGAAUACGUUCCCGGGUCUUGUACACACCGCCCGUCACACCAUGGGAGUCGGAAAUGCCCGAAGUCAGUGACCUAACCGAAAGGGAGGAGCUGCCGAAGGUGGAGCCGGUAACUGGGGUGAAGUCGUAACAAGGUAGC
rnacentral:rRNA from 1 species